UACACAUGCAAGUCGAGCGGAAACGAGUUAUCUGAACCUUCGGGGAACGAUAACGGCGUCGAGCGGCGGACGGGUGAGUAAUGCCUGGGAAAUUGCCCUGAUGUGGGGGAUAACUAUUGGAAACGAUAGCUAAUACCGCAUAAUGUCUACGGACCAAAGAGGGGGACCUUCGGGCCUCUCGCUUCAGGAUAUGCCCAGGUGGGAUUAGCUAGUUGGUGAGGUAAUGGCUCACCAAGGCGACGAUCCCUAGCUGGUCUGAGAGGAUGAUCAGCCACACUGGAACUGAGACACGGUCCAGACUCCUACGGGAGGCAGCAGUGGGGAAUAUUGCACAAUGGGCGCAAGCCUGAUGCAGCCAUGCCGCGUGUAUGAAGAAGCCUUCGGGUUGUAAAGUACUUUCAGUCGUGAGGAAGG
rnacentral:rRNA from 1 species